rnacentral:misc_RNA from 1 species
UUUGCAUAUCCAAAAAGCGGAGGAAAAGAAACCAACAGGGAUUGCCUUAGUAACGGCGAGUGAAGCGGCAACAGCUCAAAUUUGAAAUCUGGCCCUCGGGUCCGAAUUGUAAUUUGUAGAGGAUGCUUUUGGUGCGGUGCCUUCUGAGUUCCUUGGAACAGGACGCCUUAGAGGGUGAGAGCCCCGUACAGUUGGACACCAAGCCUUUGUAAAGCUCCUUCGACGAGUCGAGUAGUUUGGGAAUGCUGCUCUAAAUGGGAGGUAAAUUUCUUCUAAAGCUAAAUAUUGGCCAGAGACCGAUAGCGCACAAGUAGAGUGAUCGAAAGAUGAAAAGUACUUUGAAAAGAGGGUUAAAUAGCACGUGAAAUUGUUGAAAGGGAAGCGUUUAUGACCAGACCUUCGUCGGGCGGAUCAUCCGGUGUUCUUCACCGGUGCACUUCGCCCGGCUUAGGCCAGCAUCGGUUUUCGUAGGGGGAUAAAGGCCUAGGGAAUGUGGCUCCCUCCGGGGAGUGUUAUAGCCCUGGGCGUAAUACCUUUAUGGGGACCGAGGUCGCGCUCCGGCAAGGAUGCUGCGUAUCCAGGGGUAUUGCCUUAGUACGGCGAGUGAAGCGGCAACAGCUCAAAUUUGAAAUCUGGCCCUCGGGUCCGAAUUGUAAUUUGUAGAGGAUGCUUUUGGUGCGGUGCCUUCUGAGUUCCUUGGAACAGGACGCCUUAGAGGGUGAGAGCCCCGUACAGUUGGACACCAAGCCUUUGUAAAGCUCCUUCGACGAGUCGAGUAGUUUGGGAAUGCUGCUCUAAAUGGGAGGUAAAUUUCUUCUAAAGCUAAAUAUUGGCCAGAGACCGAUAGCGCACAAGUAGAGUGAUCGAAAGAUGAAAAGUACUUUGAAAAGAGGGUUAAAUAGCACGUGAAAUUGUUGAAAGGGAAGCGUUUAUGACCAGACCUUCGUCGGGCGGAUCAUCCGGUGUUCUUCACCGGUGCACUUCGCCCGGCUUAGGCCAGCAUCGGUUUUCGUAGGGGGAUAAAGGCCUAGGGAAUGUGGCUCCCUCCGGGGAGUGUUAUAGCCCUGGGCGUAAUACCUUUAUGGGGACCGAGGUUCGCGCUCCGGCAAGGAUGCUGGCGUAAUGGUCAUCAACGACCCGUCUUGAACCACGGGACCCA